UUGCCCUUACGACUUAAUUUUUGCUUAUUAAUAUUAUUGUUAUUGUUAUUCAAAUUGUUUUUAUUUAUUAUUAUCAUAUCUUUUUUUUUUAGUGUCUGAAAAUUUUCAGAUAAAAAACAACUACAAAAAACGUACUGCGUAUUAAGAUCAUACAUUUGAGAUAACUAUUUAAGAUUGUUAUUUGUUAUGAAUUAAAAAAAAAGGUAUUCAUAAAAAUUUUACGUCAGAAGUUUCACAACUAAUACUAAAGAUAAAUUUAUCCAUCCUUGACCUAUUCACUAUCUUGACGAAAUUGCAGAAUGUUCAAUUGAGGAUGUUUAAGAAAAAAGAUGUUUAAGAAAAAGCAAAAAAAAGUCUAAAACAUGUCUAGUAUCGACUGGGAAGUUUUCAACGAAGGAUGUUGAUUUAGACAAUAUUUUCGUCAUAAGGAUUUACUAAUUAUUUACAAACAAUUUUACAAGUAAAUUUGAAAGUUUCAAAAUAACCAACAUUUGUUAAA